rnacentral:tRNA from 1 species
CAGGGGAUAGCUUAAUGGCAAAGUAUGGAGUCGCGCUCCAAAGUGCUAGGUUCGAUUCCUAGUUCCCCUGACCA